AGUGAACGCUGGCGGCAUGCCUAACACAUGCAAGUCGAACGGUAACAGGCCCGCAAGGGUGCUGACGAGUGGCGGACGGGUGAGGAAUACAUCGGAAUUUGCCCAGUCGUGGGGGAUAACGUAGGGAAACUUACGCUAAUACCGCAUACGACCUAACGGUGAAAGCGGGGGAUCGCAAGACCUCGCGCGGAUGGAUAAGCCGAUGUCGGAUUAGCUAGUUGGCGGGUAAAGGCCCACAAGGCGACGAUCCGUAGCUGGUCUGAGAGGAUGAUCAGCCACACUGGGACUGAGACACGGCCCAGACUCCUACGGGAGGCAGCAGUGGGGAAUAUUGGAACAAUGGGGGCAACCCUGAUCCAGCAAUGCCGCGUGUGUGAAGAAGGCCU
rnacentral:rRNA from 1 species